UCUUCAAAGACUGAAGAAUCUCGAGGUUACGUUCGCAAAGGCAACAUGCCAUGUGGCCAUUGGAGGGCAGUGUGUAUCCAAUGUUGCCGCAUCUCUUACACAGCCUGAAAGUGCACCCUUGAUUUGCAUGAGGGGUCCCAAGAUCUUCAGCUUGAUGUUUGCAGUCCUCACCUCUCUCCCACCAGAACCCUUUGCUUUUUUUCCAGGAUAAAAGCAUCAUGAUGAAGCAUCAU